rnacentral:lncRNA from 1 species
GCUUGCAGUGAGCCGAGAUUGCGUCACCGCACUCCAGCCUGGGCGACAGAGCGAGACUCCGUCUCAAAAAAAAUGACUGGACAAAAAACACUCUGAUGCAAACAGGCAAGAAACCCAGCAAGGCCUAUCUGGAUUCUCCUUGGCCUGUCUGCAGCAUUCAUUCCUUCUGGGUAUGGAACAGGACCCUCUGGAAUGGGGGCUGUGGCCUACAACAGUUAAACAAGUGAACUAAAGGGCUCCCAAAAUCUCUCCUGCAGCAUUUUCCUUGAGAAGGAGGAAGGUUUGCAUCUCUGUGAGAAGAAACAUCAGAAGCAGUUGAAAGACCAGGAUGUGGGUCCUCUGGGGCUGAGGAGGCAUUCUGAAUCAACUGUGUGUUCUACACCUGUGUUUUAACUGUGACCUGUCACAUGAGGACAAGUGUGGAAUUUCCCACUUUUGUGCCAUGAGCUGUGAUUGGUUGAUUGAUUUUGAGGCGGAGUUUCACUCUUGUUGCCCAGGCUGAAGUGCAGUGGCACAACCUCUGCUCACUGCAACCGCUGCC